rnacentral:rRNA from 1 species
CCUACGGGAGGCAGCAGUGGGGAAUAUUGGGCAAUGGGCGCAAGCCUGACCCAGCAAUGCCGCGUGAAGGAAGAAGGCCCUCGGGUUGUAAACUUCUUUUAUCAGGGACGAAGGAUGUGACGGUACCUGAUGAAUAAGCUCCGGCUAACUACGUGCCAGCAGCCGCGGUAAUACGUGGGGAGCAAGCGUUAUCCGGAUUUACUGGGUGUAAAGGGCGCGUAGGCGGGAUGGCAAGUCAAGGGUGAAAUCCCCGCGCUCAACGUGGGAACUGCCUUUGAAACUGGCAAACUGGAGUGUGUGAGAGG